rnacentral:rRNA from 1 species
GACUUCUGGUUUAAUGUGCCUGGCCCGCGGCUCUUUAGGCUUGUGUGUGCCGGUGCGCGUUUACCAUCCUUCUGGGGAACGAGUCUACCCUUAACUGGGCCGGAUUCGGGAUCCAGAUCAUUUACUUUGAAAAAAUUAGAGUGUUUAAAGCAGGCUAUUGCUAUGAAUACAUUAGCAUGGAAUAAUAAUCUAGGACUUUGGCCCUAUUUUGUUGGUUUCUAGGACUGAAGUAAUGAUUGAUAGGGAUAGUUGGGGGUGCUCGAAUUCAGCGGCCAGAGGUGAAAUUCUUGGAUUCGCUGAAGACGAACUCAUGCGAAAGCAUU